CAACAUACCUUUCCGUGUUGAAACAAAUUCUGUUUCUUUUCGGGUCAUUCUUGAUUCAGGAAUCAUAGGUUUUCCCUUAAACCCAAACCGGCUAAGUAUUCCUUGAACACACUGGGUGGUAAGAUUUUCGUGAGCGGAUCCGUAAGCAUAUACUUUGUCUUUAUAUGCUCGAGACUUAUACUAUGAUCCGUAUGCAAAACAGCCCGAGGUCAAUCGAGCUCGCUGCACGGCGAUCGUGGAAAAAAAAUGGGGAAAAGGCAGCAGGCUUGCCAUCCGGUGGCAAGUAUCCUUCACUCACUGAUAUUCGGGCCCAAGAACACUCCAGGCCCAGCGACAGUGAGAGAUUGCGCAGAAGACCACGGUGAAUAUUCUAAAAAAAAAAAGAAGACAGCGGUGAAAGAUAAAUCUACAGUAAACAAAUCAUCCACUAGAUGGCCAGGAAGCACCCAAGGGCAAAUCUCACCGUCGAAACAAUUAGGAUGAUAAAUCUACAGUAAACAACUCAUCGACCAGAUGUCCAGCCCGACCGGUCUUCCUCCUCACUUCCUUGAUAACUACUACAUCUGUCUUCCUCUAAGCUCUGAAGGUUGUAGUGAUUUUGCCUCUUGGCCACAUACCAAGUCCGGAGUUUAUACAGUGAGGUCAGGCUACAACCUUACAAGGAC
rnacentral:lncRNA from 1 species